rnacentral:misc_RNA from 1 species
GAUGAAGAACGCAGCGAAAUGCGAUACGUAAUGUGAAUUGCAAAAUUCAGUGAAUCAUCGAGUCUUUGAACGCACAUUGCGCCCCCUGGUAUUCCGGGGGGCAUGCCUGUCCGAGCGUCAUUGCUGCCCUCAAGCACGGCUUGUGUGUUGGGCCUCCGCCCCCCGGCUCCCGGGGGGCGGGCCCGAAAGGCAGCGGCGGCACCGCGUCCGGUCCUCGAGCGUAUGGGGCUUCGUCACCCGCUCCGUAGGCCCGGCCGGCGCCCGCCGGCGACCCCCCUCAAUCUUUCCAGGUUGACCUCGGAUCAGGUAGGGAUACCCGCUGAACUUAAGCAUAUCAAUAAGCGGAGGA